CGGAUGCACUGAAUGGCUGCUGAAAGGGAGGAGCUUCACACAAACUCAGAGUCCUGUUACUGAACGCCGGAGAUUUUGGGAGUGAAGGAGCAGCUCGAGUCAUUUUCUCUUUGCAGGUUUCUUCGCACAUCUAAAGGACGCAUACCUCGGGUCACGCUCUCAGGAUUGAAGCAUGGAUGAUGAUUUUGAGCGACGCAGGGAGCUCAGGAGACAGAAGCGGGAGGAGAUGCGUCUGGAAGCCGAGAGGAUGGCGAAUCGCCGGAAUGAGGAGGAUGAAGAGGAGGCCGCUCGUGAGCGCAGACGAAGAGCGCGACAGGAGAGACUGCGCGGUAAGGACGGCGAGGACGUGGCCUACCAACCCGAGACCCCGGAGCUCAACAACAGCCACAGCGUGACGGUGACAGAGAGUGUAUCCACCUCAGUGGUGUCCUCCAGCGGGACAGGAGAAGGGGACGAUGAGGAACAGGCCCUGCUGGAGCGCCUGGCCAAAAGAGAGGAGCGCAGGCAGAAGAGGAUGAUGGAGGCGCUGGACAGACAGCAGGAGCUGGAGAGCAACCAAACCCUGGAGGAGAGCCGGAGCUACGAGCCUGAGGAGGAGGAGAAACAGGUGGAGGAGGAAGAGGAAGAGGUCAUCCCUAGAGAGGAGGAGGAGGAGGUGGUGGUGGAAAAGCCACGGAGGUCUUAUUUGAGAGAACAGGAAUCUGCUGAGGAAGUAUCUAAAAUACCUGAGGAGGACAGUAAUGAGCCAGAUGCUGUGCCUUCUUCUGAACUAUAUGAGCUGGUUGUAAAUGAAGACGUAGAUGAUUCUGCAUUUUUUUUGGAGACGGAAACUGGCACCGCAGAGCUCACUGCAGGUGUACGGGAGGAAAAGAGUGAGAUAGUGGGAUUGACAGAGAAUGAAGUGGAUGAAAGAAGAGAGGCAUUAAACUUUGAGAAAUAUGAGGUUUCAGAAAAUGACGAGUCUUUGAUGGAAGAUGAGGAUGUGGUGAGGAAGAAUAAACAGCCCAAUGGAGGAGUGUGCGAGGACAGCGCUCCCAAACACAAGAAAGCUGAGAGGACUUUCAGCCGAGGCAGCGUGCGCUCUCCUGAGGCGCCGGAGGCAGACGAUGCAGACGGCGAGGAUGCUCGCUUGGAGGCCGAGAGAAAGCUGGAGGAACUGAAGAGAAGAAGAGAUGAGAUGGAGAUUGAGGAGUUCGAGAGGAUGAGGCAGAAACAGCAGGAGGCCGAAGUGGAGCUGGAGGAGCUGAAGAAGAAGAGGGAGGAGAGGAGGAAGGUGCUGGAAGAGGAGGAGCGGCGGAGGAAGCAGGAAGAGGCCGAGAUGAAAGCCAGAGAGGAGGAGGAAAAGAGGAGGAUGAAGGAGGAGAUCGAGAAGAGAAGAGCAGAGGCGGCUGAGAAGAGGCAAAAAGUGGAGGAUUCAGAGGAAGGAGAGGGCAGGAAGCCCUUUAAGUGUGUCAGUCCCAGAGGAUCCUCCCUGAAGAUCGGCGAGAGGGCAGAAUUUCUCAACAGAUCAGCACAGAAGAGUUCUGUGAAGGCAUCUCACAGUCCUGUGGUAUCUAAGAUUGAUAACCGAUUAGAGCAGUACACCAGCGCAGUGCAGGGCCAGGUCAGAUCUCCCAGAUCUGCUGCCAUAGAUCUUCCUGUGGUGACAGAUGGUAUUCGCAACAUCAAGAGCAUGUGGGAGAAGGGGAAUGUCUUCAGCUCUGGUGGGAGCCCAGCAUCCACCAACAAGGAUGCAGCUGGGAUAAAGGUGGGCGUGGCCGGCCGCAUCAACGAUUGGUUGAAUAAAACUCCAGAGACGGGCAAGAUGUCAGGAGGAAGACCCGCGGAUCUGAAACCGGGUGACGUGACAAGCAAACGCAGUCUUUGGGAAAACAAGGGGUCCUCUGCUACCAAGCCGUCCCCUUGCUAAUUGUCUACAGAUCUGACCACCUUGAGGAGGUCACAAGCAGAGGAGAGACCAAAUCCGUCACCAAUGGAACGGGCCAUUAACCUUUCAAAGAUGCCAGAGAGGCAGGGACCAAGAGAAUGCACAACAUUCCUUUUUUUAAACUUUUAUUAAUACCAAAAAAAUACAAGCAUUUUAUACUGCCAGGAAGAUCUAUGUGAGUAGACAUAGUAUAAAAGAGAGAAAAAUACAAAAAUAAAUAUAUUUUAUCACUGUAUUAACAGGGCACCAUCAUAGCAUAAACGCAAUGCCUUUGCAUGUAACUUCUGUUAAACUGAAAUCAAGGCUGUGAAAACCAGAGCAAGUACUUUGUUUUAUAACCGCAGCCAACUGCCUUGAAAAAGAGGACGAGGAGAAGCAUUCCACUUUGUCUUUUGUCAAAUCACAUUUUUGUAAACGAGUUACCCUUCUCAUCUGUUAAUUUAUAGCUAAAGCAAAGCUUCACCCUGCAUUUCAUGUCUGUUCGCCAGUUCCAGACCGAAUAUGAACACCCGUAGAGUAGCUGUUAUUUUGUACUUUUUGUCAUUACGACACUUUUUUUUUAUUGUCUUAAUAAUAUAUGUUAGCACAUAGUGUAAGUUUUUGUAAUUAACUAUAUAUUUUACUGCUUGAUACAAAAAUGGUCUUUGCUUUUGCUCUCAAUAUUAUUUUAAAUAUCAAAGCGAGUUUUAAUUCAGCAGAAGUCCUUUAAGUCAUACCAUUAUUGCAUUAUCUCUGGCUUUUUUACUUCUGGAAGCACUGGUCUGAAGUUGUGUGUGACCAACUUUUUGUUAGUGUUAAUCGUGUGAAAUAAUCAGUAUUGGUUAAGUGAAACUGUUGAACUCAAAAGAAAGGGAACGUGCACUUUUUGGCUUAAAUCACAUAUUCGAUGAGUACAUUUCACAGAUUUUAAUAAUAUAAUAUCCGAAAAGAUCCAGCAAGGACAAUGAGAAGGACAAAGUCAAUUCAUGUUUAUUGUUCAAGUGUUUCAUUUUUCAUCUUUCUGUUGCAAUCAUUCAUACUAAAUUGCAACACAGAUGUCGUCGGCUUUCAGUACAGAGCUAGAGCGUUUGUAAUGCCAUCAUUUAAAUGAAAUUAUCAUUUCUGACGUCUUUUGUCAGACAAAGAAUAUCCAGUUCUGCCGCCGUAGCUUAUCGCUCAUGUCUCUAAAUGUUCAAAGAUCCUGUAUUCUGCUUGUAUUGUUCGACAAUCAAGUUUUUUAUUAUAUGUUUCAACACUUAUGUAUUGUUUCCCACUAACACCAUGCAAGUCGUGCCAACUUAAGUUACAAACGUGACCGUUUGUAGCCAAUAGUUCCAUACAGUGCAGAUGUUUCAACUUGUAUCACUCUCUCAGUGACCACAAUAAAGAGACCAAUGAAAAACA